AGUGAACGCUGGCGGCGUGCCUAAUACAUGCAAGUCGAACGAGUGGCGCACGGGCGGGUAAUGUAUAGCUAAUCUUCCCUCUAAUAGAGGACAACAGUUGGAAACGGCUGCUACUACUCCAUAGUUUAUGUUGAGGCUAUAUUGUUUCAGCUAGUUGGUGAGGUAAUGGCUCACCAAGGCUAUGACGCAUAACUGGUCUGAGAGGAUGAUCAGUCAAACUGGAACGGAGACACGGUCCAGACUCCUACGGGAGGCAGCAGUAGGGAAUAUUGCUCAAUGGGGGAAACCCUGAAGCAGCAACGCCGCGUGGAGGAUUACACUUUUCGGAGCGUAAACUCCUUUUGUUAGGGAAGCGGUACCUAACGAAUAAGCACCGGCUAACUCCGUGCCAGCAGCCGCGGUAAUUC
rnacentral:rRNA from 1 species